rnacentral:rRNA from 1 species
UCAAGUUAUUAAGGGUGCAGGGCGGAUGCCUUGGCACUAGGAGCCGAUGAAGGACGUGAUAAGCUGCGAUAAGCUUCGGGGAGUUGCACGUAAACUUUGAUCCGAAGAUUUCCGAAUGAGGAAACUCACUUAGAGUAAUGUCUAAGUAUCAUUAAGUGAAUACAUAGCUUAAUGAGGGGAACUCAGGGAACUGAAACAUCUAAGUACCUGAAGGAAGAGAAAGAAAUUCGAUUCCGUAAGUAGCGGCGAGCGAACGCGGAUUAGCCCAAACCAAUAAAGUUUUCUUUAUUGGGUUGCGGACAUAUCAUAACGAAGAGGUAUCGUAAUUGAAGAGGUUUGGAAAGACCCACCACAGAAGGUAAUAGUCCUGUAUGUUAAACGAGAAGACUUCAGAUAUGAUCCAGAGUACCACGGGACACGUGAAACCCUGUGGGAAGCAGGAGGGACCCCCUCCAAGGCUAAAUACUACCUAGUGACCGAUAGCGUAUAGUACCGUGAGGGAAAGGUGAAAAGAACCCCGGGAGGGGAGUGAAAUAGAACCUGAAACCCUGCACUUACAAGCUGUGGAAGCACAUUUCUUGUGUGACCGCGUACUUUUUUGUAGAACGGGCCAACGAGUUACGUUAAGUAGCAAGGUUAAGCACUUAAGGUGCGGAGCCGUAGCGAAAGCGAGUUUUAACUGAGCGUUCAGUUACUUGACGUAGACCCGAAACCGGGCGACCUACCCAUGAGCAGGAUGAAGCGAAAGUAAAAUUUCGUGGAGGUCCGAACCCACGAGCGUUGAAAAGCUCGGGAUGACUUGUGGGUAGCGGUGAAAUUCCAAUCGAGCCCGGAGAUAGCUGGUUCUCCCCGAAAUAGCUUUAGGGCUAGCCUCAAGGUGAGAGAUACGGAGGUAGAGCACUGAAUGUCCUAGGGGGUAUUGCACCUACCGAAGACUAUCAAACUCCGAAUGCCGUCAUCUUAUACUUGGGAGUCAGACUGUGGGUGAUAAGAUUCAUAGUCAAAAGGGCAACAGCCCAGAUCGUCAGCUAAGGUCCCUAAAUGUAAGUUAAGUGGUAAAGGAUGUGGGAUUGCACAGACAACCAGGAUGUUGGCUUAGAAGCAGCCACUCAUUCAAAGAGUGCGUAAUAGCUCACUGGUCGAGUGAUCCUGCGCCGAAGAUUUCCGGGGCUAAAACUUACUACCGAAGCUACGGCAUCAUUAUGAUGGGUAGGGGAGCUUCCCAUACGGGUUGAAGCAUGACCGUAAGGACAUGUGGACAGUAUGGGAGUGAGAAUGUUGGCAUGAGUAGCGAGAUGUGGGUGAGAAUCCCACAGGCCGUAAACCCAAGGUUUCCAGGGGAAGGUUCGUCCGCCCUGGGUUAGUCGGGACCUAAGCUGAGGCCGAAAGGCGUAGGUGAUGGACAACAGGUUGAUAUUCCUGUACUACCGAUAACCGUUUGAGAGAAGGGAUGACACAGUAGGAUAAGCUAAGCACACUGUUGGUUAUGUGUGCCCAAGCAUUGAGGCAGUCAAAGUAGGCAAAUCCGCUUUGAUAAUGCUGGGAUGUGAUGGGGAGCGAAAUUUAGUAGCGAAGUAGCUGAUUUCACACUGUCAAGAAAAGUCUCUAUCGAGGUUAAAGGUACCCGUACCGCAAACCGACACAGGUGGGUGAGGAGAGUAUCCUAAAGGCCAGCGAGAGAACUGUUGUUAAGGAACUCGGCAAAAUGACCCCGUAACUUAGGGAUAAGGGGUGCCACCAUCCGGUGGCCGCAGAGAAUAGGCCCAAGCGACUGUUUACCAAAAACAUAGGUUUCUGCUAAGUCGCAAGACGAUGUAUAGGAGCUGACGCCUGCCCGGUGCUGGAAGGUUAAGGGGAUCUGUUAGAGCAAUCGAAGCAGUGAACUUAAGCCCAGUAAACGGCGGCCGUAACUAUAACGG